ensembl:lncRNA
CCCCAUAUGAACUUAAUGCUGAUUGUUAAGGUUCUGACUCAACAGAUGCCCCCCCCCACUAUGAACUUAAUGCUGAUUGUUAAUGUUCUGACUCAACAGAUAACCCCCCACUAUGAACUUAAUGCUGAUUGUUAAUGUUCUGACUCAACAGUACAGAUGCCCCCCCCCAUAUGAACUUAAUGCUGAUUGUUAAGGUUCUGACUCAACAGUACAGAUGCCCCCCCCCCCAUAUGAACUUAAUGCUGAUUGCUAAUGUUCUGACUCAACAGUACAGAUGCCCCCCACUAUGAACUUAAUGCUGAUUGUUAAGGUUCUGACUCAACAGAUGCCCCCCAUAUGAACUUAAUGCUGAUUGGUAAGGUUCUGACUCAACAGAUUCCCCCCCCCAUAAUGAACUUAAUGCUGAUUGUUA